rnacentral:rRNA from 1 species
ACUGCCGUCGCUCCUACCGAUUGACGUGCUGGUGAAGCGUUAGGACUGGAACUUUGGGCCGGUUUCCCUGCCCAUCGUUUCGGGAAUUUCGUUGAACCCUCCCGUUUAGAGGAAGGAGAAGUCGUAACAAGGUCUCCGUAGUGAACCUGCGGAGGGAUCAUUG